rnacentral:rRNA from 1 species
GACGAACGCUGGCGGCGUGCUUAACACAUGCAAGUCGAACGGAAAGGCCCUGCUUUUGUGGGGUGCUCGAGUGGCGAACGGGUGAGUAACACGUGAGUAACCUGCCCUUGACUUUGGGAUAACUUCAGGAAACUGGGGCUAAUACCGGAUAGGAGCUCCUGCUGCAUGGUGGGGGUUGGAAAGUUUCGGCGGUUGGGGAUGGACUCGCGGCUGAUCAGCUUGUUGGUGGGGUAGUGGCUUACCAAGGCUUUGACGGGUAGCCGGCCUGAGAGGGUGACCGGCCCCAUUGGGACUGAGAUACGGCCCAGAUUCCUACGGGAGGCAGCAGUGGCAAAUAUUGCACAAUGGGCUGAAGCCUGAUGAAGCAACGCCGCGUGCGGGAUGACGGCCUUCGGGUUGUAAACCGCUUUCGCCUGUGACGAAGCGUGAGUGACGGUAAUGGGUAAAGAAGCACCGGCUAACUACGUG